rnacentral:rRNA from 1 species
UUAAAACUUUCAACAACGGAUCUCUUGGUUCUGGCAUCGAUGAAGAACGCAGCGAAAUGCGAUAAGUAAUGUGAAUUGCAGAAUUCAGUGAAUCAUCGAAUCUUUGAACGCACAUUGCGCCCCCUGGCAUUCCGGGGGGCAUGCCUGUUCGAGCGUCAUUGCACCACUCAAGCUCAGCUUGGUAUUGGGCCC